rnacentral:rRNA from 1 species
GCUGAGGCGUGAUGACGAGGCACUACGGUGCUGAAGCAACAAAUGCCCUGCUUCCAGGAAAAGCCUCUAAGCAUCAGGUAACAUCAAAUCGUACCCCAAACCGACACAGGUGGUCAGGUAGAGAAUACCAAGGCGCUUGAGAGAACUCGGGUGAAGGAACUAGGCAAAAUGGUGCCGUAACUUCGGGAGAAGGCACGCUGAUAUGUAGGUGAAGUCCCUCGCGGAUGGAGCUGAAAUCAGUCGAAGAUACCAGCUGGCUGCAACUGUUUAUUAAAAACACAGCACUGUGCAAACACGAAAGUGGACGUAUACGGUGUGACGCCUGCCCGGUGCCGGAAGGUUAAUUGAUGGGGUCAGCGCAAGCGAAGCUCUUGAUCGAAGCCCCGGUAAACGGCGGCCGUAACUAUAACGGUCCUAAGGUAGCGAAAUUCCUUGUCGGGUAAGUUCCGACCUGCACGAAUGGCGUAAUGAUGGCCAGGCUGUCUCCACCCGAGACUCAGUGAAAUUGAACUCGCUGUGAAGAUGCAGUGUACCCGCGGCAAGACGGAAAGACCCCGUGAACCUUUACUAUAGCUUGACACUGAACAUUGAGCCUUGAUGUGUAGGAUAGGUGGGAGGCUUAGAAGUGUGGACGCCAGUCUGCAUGGAGCCGACCUUGAAAUACCACCCUUUAAUGUUUGAUGUUCUAACGUUGACCCGUGAUCCGGGUUGCGGACAGUGUCUGGUGGGUAGUUUGACUGGGGCGGUCUCCUCCUAAAGAGUAACGGAGGAGCACGAAGGUUGGCUAAUCCUGGUCGGACAUCAGGAGGUUAGUGCAAUGGCAUAAGCCAGCUUGACUGCGAGCGUGACGGCGCGAGCAGGUGCGAAAGCAGGUCAUAGUGAUCCGGUGGUUCUGAAUGGAAGGGCCAUCGCUCAACGGAUAAAAGGUACUCCGGGGAUAACAGGCUGAUACCGCCCAAGAGUUCAUAUCGACGGCGGUGUUUGGCACCUCGAUGUCGGCUCAUCACAUCCUGGGGCUGAAGUAGGUCCCAAGGGUAUGGCUGUUCGCCAUUUAAAGUGGUACGCGAGCUGGGUUUAGAACGUCGUGAGACAGUUCGGUCCCUAUCUGCCGUGGGCGCUGGAGAACUGAGGGGGGCUGCUCCUAGUACGAGAGGACCGGAGUGGACGCAUCACUGGUGUUCGGGUUGUCAUGCCAAUGGCACUGCCCGGUAGCUAAAUGCGGAAGAGAUAAGUGCUGAAAGCAUCUAAGCACGAAACUUGCC